rnacentral:sRNA from 1 species
AAAAACGACGUCGUUUUAGAUUAUUAACGGAAAAUUAACUCCGUUAUCUUUCUGUUGACGGAAAUUUUACGGUAUGCUUAAAAUGUCCCAGUCAACAAAACUUAACUAUUUU